rnacentral:lncRNA from 1 species
GUGUACAGCAAAGUGAUUCAGUUUUUAAUUUUUUUUCAGAUUCUUUCCAUUAUAGGUUAUUACAAGAUAUUGAAUAUAGUUCUCUGUCCUUAGACAGUAGGUCCCUAUUGCCCAUAUAUUUUAUAGAUAGUAGUGUGUAUCUGUUAAUUCCAAACUACUAAUUUACUCCUCCUCACCUCCUCCUUUGGUUACCUUGAGUUUCCUAUGAGUCUAUUUGUGUUUUGUAAAUAUGUUCUCAUUUCAUUUUUUUAGAUCCCACUUAUAAAUGAUAUCAUAUGAUAUCUGUCUUUCUCUUACUUCACUCGGUAUGAUAAUCUAUAGGUCCAGCCAUGUUGCUGCAAAUGGGAUUAUUUCAUUCUUUUUUACGGCUGAGUAAUAGCCCAUUUUGCGUAUACACACACACACACACACCCCCCACAUCUUUUUUAUCCAUUCCUCUAUUGAGAGACAUUUAGGUUGCUUCCAUGCCUCAGCUACUGUAAACAAUGCUGCUAUGAAUAUUGGGGUGCUUGUAUCUUUUCAAAUGAGAGUUUUCAUCUUUUCCGGAUAUAUGCCCAGGAGUGGGAUUGCUGGAUCAUAUGGUAACUCAGUGGUAGUGGGUUUUUGUUGUUGUUGUUGUUUAUAAUGUCAUUUUUUUUGACCUACACCAUGCAGAAGUUCCUGGGCCACAGAUCGAACACAAGCCACAGCAGUGACAACAUCAGAUCCUCAACCUGCAAGGCCACCAGGGAACUCCUACAAUGUCAUUUCUGCUACUAUAUAUUCAAAAGCCUAAGGUUUUGAAGAAAAAGAUCACUCUUCAUCAAUGGCACCUAGGGCAGCCCCCAAAUGGGAAAUAAGCCAGUUUAAUAAAUGUAAAAUGUAUCAGAAAUAAGGAACUGAGGCACCAGGGCAACCACAUCCUCAAGCAAUAGUGAUGGGGAAUUUUUAUGUGCUGACUGGGGCAAGGGGAGAAGGGAUAUAUAUAUAUAUAAACAAAAGCACAAGUUCUAGAGCCAACUUGCCUGGUUUCAAAUCCAGUUCCAUCAUUUACUGGCUAGACGGCUGAAUGAAUUACAAAAUCCCCAUUGGCCCUGAUUUCCUCAUUAAAAAUGAGGAUAAAAACAGGAUAUGACGGAGUUGUCAUAAGGGCAGGAUAAGUUAAUACAAGUAAGGCAAUUAGAAACACAAGUAUCAGUUGGUGAUCAUGGGUGGCACAGAGGCAGCUCUCUCGCACAUGCUGAGGCCACUCUUCCGUCUCCUCUUUAUGGGACUUUUCCUCCCCCAAACCUCUUUGACCGGUUUUGAAUGGCUGAGCUGCUCUUGUUAGGUAAAUCUAUGGCUUUCCCACAUGCUACCUGCUAUGCUUUAUGGCAAGACAACUUUAACUGUCCGUCUUCUCCAGAAGAAUGGAAGGUUUUUAAGGGCAUUUCUAAUAUGUCUAUCUUGUUCAUCUCUUCUUGCAUCUAAUAGCAACAUCAUGAUGAAAGGGAGAAAGGGACCAGGCCGUCAACAUCUGGAAUGGGCUUUGAAGGUGGGCAGCUCUGCUGGGAUGAAUCCUAAGGAAAGCACAGGGCAAGGAGAGAGACUAGCAGCAGGUGAGACCCAGUGUCAGGCAACUGGAGAACAAGACCGUAAAUGUAGGCUAAGGUUCCAUCCUGGAGCAAUAUCCUUGCCUGGCUAAGAGUUGGGUAAGUUGCUAAGCAAGGAGCCCUGACAGCCUUUGGCUGUAGGAAGGUGCUCAGGGUUAGGAAGGACAGGCUGGCUGUGGGAGACUGGGAGGCAGGAGGUUGAGAAUGACAGUCUGAAAGGCUAAGUGUGGAAGGCUGAAGUGGGCUGGCAGCAGGAUAGGGAAGAUGGUUACAAGAAAUCAUCGUGUGGGGUUAAGAACCUGACAUAGUGUCUGUGAGGAUGUGGGUUCGGUCCCUGGUCCUGCUCAGUGGGUUAAGGAUCUGGCUGCAGCUCUGAUUUGACCCCUAGUGUGGGAUCUUCCACAUGCCACAGAGGCAGCCAUUAAAAAAAACAAAAAAACAAAAAACCUAAAGUCCAGGACCUGAUGGCUUCAUGCUAAACAUUCAGAGAAGAGUUAACAUCUCUUCUUUUGAAACUUUUCCAGAAAAUUGCAGAGGAAAGAACACUCCCAAGCUCAUUCUAUGAAGCCAUUACCCUGACACCAAAACCAGACAAAGAUACCACGAAAAAAGAAAAUUAUAGGCCAAUAUCACUGAUGAACAUAGAUGCAAAAAUCCUCAACAAAAUAUUAGCGAACCACAUACAAAUAUACAUUAAAAAGAUCAUACACCAUGAUCAAGUAGGAUUUAUCCCAGUGAUACAAGGAUUCUUCAAUAUCUGCAAAGCUAUCAAUGUGAUACACCACAUCAACAAACUGAAAAAUAAAAACCGUAUGAUCAUUUCAACAGAUCCAGAAAAAACUUUAGACAAAAUCCAACCCACAUUCCUGAUAAAAACUCUCCAGAGUUCCCAUCGUGGCUCAGUGGUUGACGAAUCUGACUAGGAACCAUGAGGUUGCAGGUUCGAUCCAUGGCCUUGCUCAGUGGGUUGACAAUCCCAUGUUGCCGUGAGCUGUGGCGUAGGUCGCAGAUGCAGCUCGGAUCCUGCAUUGCUGUGGCUCUGGUGUAGGC